AACGAACGCUGGCGGCAUGCCUAACACAUGCAAGUCGAACGAGACCUUCGGGUCUAGUGGCGCACGGGUGCGUAACGCGUGGGAACCUGCCCUUAGGUUCGGAAUAACUCCCCGCAAGGGGUGCUAAUACCGGAUAAUGUCUUCGGACCAAAGAUUUAUCGCCUUUGGAUGGGCCCGCGUUGGAUUAGCUAGUUGGUAGGGUAAAAGCCUACCAAGGCGACGAUCCAUAGCUGGUCUGAGAGGAUGAUCAGCCACACUGGGACUGAGACACGGCCCAGACUCCUACGGGAGGCAGCAGUGGGGAAUAUUGGACAAUGGGCGAAAGCCUGAUCCAGCAAUGCCGCGUGAGUGAUGAAGGCCGUAGGGUUGUAAAGCUCUUUUACCCGGGAUGAUAAUGACAGUACCGGGAGAAUAAGCACCGGCUAACUCCGUG
rnacentral:rRNA from 1 species